AACGGGUGCGGAACACGUACAGAACCUACCUUGAUCUGGGGCAUAGCCCGGAGAAUCCGGAUUAACUCCCCAUAAUAUAUUUGAGUGGCAUCACUUGGCUAUUAAAAAUUUAUUGGAUCGAGAUGGCUGUGCGUCCCAUUAGCUAAUUGGAACGGUAACAGCCUACCAAGGUGACCAUAGAUAACUGGUGUGAGAGCACGACCAGACACACGGGCCCUGAUCCUCGGGCCCGACUCCUACGGGAAGUUUCCGUGAGGAAUAUUGGUCAGUGGAAGCAAGGCUGAACCAACCAUGCCGCGCGAAGGAUGAAGGCCUUCUGGUGUGUAAACUUCUUUUACCUGGGAAGAAACCGCCUUUUUCUAAGGGUGUUGACGGCCCCAGAGGAAUAAACAACGGCUAACUCCGUGCCAAUCCCCGCGGUAAUACCGAGGGUGCAAGCGUUAUCCGGAUUUACUGGGUUUAAAGGGUGUGUAGGCGGGCUUUUAAGUCAGUGGUGAAAUCUCCGGGCUCAACCUGGAAACUGCCAUUGAUACUAUUAGUCUUGAAUUUUGUUGAGGUAGGCGGAAUAAGUCAUGUAGCGGUGAAAUGCAUAGAUAUGACUUAGAACACCAAUUGCGAAGGCAGCUUGCUAAACAAAUAUUGACGCUGAGGCACGAAAGCGUGGGGAUCAAACAGGAUUAGAUACCCUGGUAGUCCACGCCCUAAACGAUGAUUACUCGACAUACGCGAUACACAGUGUGUGUCUGAGCGAAAGCAUUAAGUAAUCCACCUGGGAAGUACGACCGCAAGGUUGAAACUCAAAGGAAUUGACGGGGGUCCGCACAAGCGGUGGAGCAUGUGGUUUAAUUUGAUGAUACGCGAGGAACCUUACCUGGGGUAGAAUCAUACCUGGCCGAUGGUGAAAGCCAUUUUUAUAGCAAUAUACAUGUAGUAAGGUGGUGCAUGGCCGUUGUCAGCUCGUGCCGUGAGGUGUUGGGUUAAGUUCCGCAACGAGCGCAACCCCUAUCAUCAGUUGCCAACAGGUUAAGCUGGGAAGUCUGAUGAAACUGCCGCGGUAAGGCGUGAGGAAGGAGGGGAUGAUGCCAAGUCAUCAUGGCCUUUAUGCCCAGGGCUACACACGUGCUACAAUGGGAGGUACAAAGGGUUGGUACCCGGUGACAUGAUGCCAAUUUCAAAAAACCUCUGUCAGUUCAGAUUGCAGGGUGCAACUGACGUGCAUGAAGCUGGAAUUGCUAGUUAUCGUAGAUCAGCAAUGAUACGGUGAAUACGUUCCCGGACCUUGUACACACCGCCCGUCAAGCCAGGAAGCCAGGGGGACCUGAAUCCGGUAACCGCAAGGA
rnacentral:rRNA from 1 species